rnacentral:rRNA from 1 species
UACGUAGGGGGCAAGCGUUGUCCGGAAUCAUUGGGCGUAAAGAGCGUGUAGGCGGUCCGGUAAGUCGGUUGUGAAAGCCCAGGGCUCAACCCUGGGAUGCCGACCGAUACUGUCGGACUAGAGUUCGGAAGAGGCGAGUGGAAUUCCCGGUGUAGCGGUGAAAUGCGCAGAUAUCAGGAGGAACACCAACGGCGAAGGCAGCUCGCUGGGACGGUACUGACACUGAGGCGCGAAAGCGUGGGGAGCGAACAGG